rnacentral:rRNA from 1 species
UACAGAGGUCUCAAGCGUUGUUCGGAUUCACUUGGGCUUAAAGGGCGCGUAGGCGGCUCGCCAAGUCAGGGGUGAAAUCUUUCGGCUUAACCGGAAAAGUGCUUCUGAUACUGGCGGGCUGGAGGGAGGUAGGGGCAGAUGGAACUUCCGGUGGAGCGGUGAAAUGCGUAGAUAUCGGAAGGAACGCCGGUGGCGAAAGCGAUCUGCUGGACCUCUUCUGACGCUGAGGCGCGAAAGCCAGGGGAGCAAACGGG